AACCGUAAGUUUUAUUAGGGAUCAGUUACCUCAUCCCUCUCCUUCCGAUCAUACACACACGUACGUAAACUUUAUUAACGUGUCAAACUUCUAGCAUGCCACAAGUAGCACACUAGUUCGGGACACUUACCGAGAAUAAAUUAAGUAAAUAAGUUAAAAAUUAUGUUAGCUAAUAAUUAAUAAUAAAAUAUUAUAUGGACAAAUAAUUUAAAAGUAGUAAUAUAUGUGUAGACGUAUACAAAAAAAAUGAACUUAAAUAUUGAACUAUAAUGUAUAUAGUAUAAUGUAAAAGACAUGUAAAGACACGAUCCUGGAUGGAUAUCUGAUAUUGGGUUUCCUGUGGCUUGACCACAUCACAUGAGGCACGUGAUCGGUCAUGUUGUGUCACUCUUGUCGUUACUCUUGUUGUUGCUAGUUCGCUUUUUUUUUUUUUUUUGAGCCAUAUUAAAGACAAAUACAACCCCAGAAUGGCGAAAGAGCUUGACUUACACGUCCAUGUGUGUAUGUAUUCUCCAAAUGACAAAAAUACCGUGGAAAAAAGCCUCUUAUUGAAGGAAAAUACGAGUUGCAAGUGGUCGAUUAUAGUACUGCAGCUUGAACAACGGCUCUCUCUCACAAGUGGUUCACAAUGGGCCUUUCAAUACUUUGAUGAUGAAGGAGACGUAAUUUUUGGAAAGACAGAGGAAGAGUGGAAAGAAGCUAUCAAUGUUAGUUGUGAGGUACAUGGUGGUCGUAACACUCUACAUAUAAGUGCCUUUCCUAUGAAGUCAUGCAGUGAAAAGAAAGACGUGGAGGGAAAUAAUAAAGCUGGCUGUUGUACAAAGACCUGUGCAGCAGACUUCUGCCGACCAAUACCUCCACUCCCCCCUCAGUAUGAUAGCAUUCCAAACAAAGUAACAAAUUUGAGGCAGAGUGAAUACAAGUAUGGAAAUGAGGCUCUUAGGGCAGUAGAGCUUCCACUUGGUGCACUAGGUGGAGGGUGUAUUGCCCUAGCAGGUGAUGGAGGACUGCGGCAGUGGCAGGUCUGUAAUGCUGUCAAUCAUGUUGGUAUUGCACCAGACUCUUUCUUUGCCAUCAGGGUUGACCAGGGGGGUGCAAGCAAAGCUGUGGCCCUCCAAUCAAACACUUGGUAUGACCAAACAGGUUUUGUACCAUCGGCUUACAUCACUGAUCAUGUGGUCCCUGAGGCUUCCAAGAAGCUGUUGAGUGAAAUACCAGGAAUAAAAACCUUGGAGAUUACAGCCAAAUAUCCUAUAGCUGAAGUUGAUUAUCUCAGCUCAGAGGUGCCUAUCAAAGUUCACCUUGAGGCUUUCAGUCCUACUAUUCCCUUGGACUCGAAAAACAGUGCCAUUCCUGUCAUCGUAUUCAACUUCACUGUUACCAACGAAGGGUCACAAGAUGCUAAGGUAUCUCUUUUGGGUUCUUUACAAAAUAUUGCUGGGUGGGAUGGAGUGUCGGACAUCACUGAUGAAGUGUCCAAUGCUGGUUAUGGGGGGAACGUGAACACUUUGUUUCAAACCAGUUCAAUGUAUGGCAUUGACAUGUGCAACCCUACAUUACCAGAGAAGACAAGUCCUAAUGGUCACGUGGCUAUAGUCGUUAUGACCAAAGAUGGAGACAAACUCAGUACUGACUUACAGUACACAGCAGUAGUAGAUAUGUGGAAACAGUUUGUUGGUGAUGGCCUCUCUGGACAAACACAAGCCGGGCCCUCUCCAGCUGGCAAGACUUGGAAUGGCGCCACUUCUUGCACAAGAACUGUCCCAGCUAAAAAUACUGAGGUGUUCACCUUUUUCUUGUCCUGGUUCUUUCCUCAUAGAUACGUCGACUGGCCCCAGCCAGGGGGAAUCAACGACCCAAACAGCGCUUUCUAUAUUGGUAAUCAGUACAGUAAAUUCUGGAAAGAUAUUAAAGAGGUGCUGAUAUACACUAAAGAAAAUUUUGAUUAUCUGACGUCAAAAACAAGAGAUUUCAGAGACUCCAUGUUUGAUGCUACGUUACCAUGGCAACUAAUUGACAGCGCUGCUGGUCGUGUGUCCGUACUCAAGUCUCCAACGUGUAUGUGGCAUGCUGAUGGCAACUUCUACGCAUUUGAGGGUUGUAAUACCAAAUCAGGAUGUUGUCCCCUGAACUGUACUCAUGUGUGGAACUAUGAAAUGGCUCUAGCAAAGUGUUACCCGGAUGUUGAACGAACAAUGAGAAAAGUUGAUUUUGCUGAGCAGAUGACACCUCAUGACGUCAUUCCAAGCCGUACAGUGGUGCCUCUUCUCCUUCGUCGUAUAUGGACCUUGUGGAACAACUACUCGAUCAAUCCUGAUUCCACGUCCAUCUGUGUUGACGGAGAGAUUGGCACAGUACUCAAGACUUACCGAGAGGUCAAGCAAGGCGCACCACGUGAAUGGUUUGAUACAUACUGGCCGUACGUUAAACGUGUGAUGAAAAGAUGGAUGACUGAACUAGACAACGGCCAAGGUCUGAUUACUGGUCCUCAACCCAACACGUAUGACUGCGCCAUAUAUGGAGUGAACGUGUACAUUGGUGGAUAUUACCUGACUGCCCUGAGAGCUGCCGAAGAGAUGGCAAAACUUCAAGGUGAAAUGGAUCUUGCUACCUCUUAUCAUGAUAGAUUUGAGCUGGGCAGUGCAGAACUCGACAAAAAAUGCUUUAAUGGGAAAUGGUACAUCCAGAUUGUUGACACAGAACAUCCUGUCAAUGAAGUUGCCGACAGUACUUGGGUCGACUGUCUUGUUGGUCAGUGGUGGGCGCAUGCGCUUGGACUAGGUUAUAUUCUAAAAAAGGAGAACAUUAAAAGCACGCUGAUGAACGUGUUUGAAAGAAACCACGUGGACAGCUUUGAUCCAGCCACUCAAAAACCAAGGGCUUUCUUAGAUCAGAGAGACGCGGGAAUGCAGAUUUGUGUUUACCCUGGAUCUCUGCCCACCAGUCCACUGCUCUACCAUUCUGAGGCUGCAUGGUCAGGCUUGGAGUAUGAAUUUGCUGAGCUUUGUCUCUACGAAGGGUUACCAGACAUUGCCCUAAAAGUCUUGACAGACACGAGGAAUAAAUAUGACGGUACUCGUCGCAGUCCAUGGAAUGAGAUCGAGUGCGGUGAUCACUAUUCUCGCCCCAUGGCUUCGUUCUUGUUAUUUGAGAUUGUCUCAGGACAGGAAUGGAGUUUCAACAAAGAAGACCCAUCUUUUGUGAAUUUGCGUUUUGCUCCUCGUAUUUGCCGGACUGAUUUCCGUGGAUUCUUUAUUCUUGGGUCUUGUUGGGGACAGUAUGUACAAAAAGGUGACGAACUACUGAAGAAAGGCACUGUAGAGAUUUCAGUGCGUCAUGGUGAACUUAAACUGUCUGAGCUUCAUGUUCGUUCACGCGCUACCAAAGCUGUGGCUUCUCUUACCGGCACUACUGAUUCACAGCCACUCAACGUGCAAGUAUCUCAGAAUGAUCAGUGGCUGAGUAUGAAAAUUCCCCAGGACUCGCCCUUCAGAAAAAUCAAGACAGGAAACUCGCUUGUCAUUGAAUUAUCAGAUUAAUUUUUCUCAAGCUUUAAAUCAUGCGAGGGAAUCAUGAAGUAGCAUACACUUGUCUUUAUUUUUGGAAGACGUGGUUAACGGAAACUUCAAGAACAAAACGGAUGUGGCUCGUUCAGUGGACAACUCCGUUGAUCCUUGUAACGACUUCUACCAGUACGCGUGCGGUAAAUGGUCGCAGAAUAACCCAACGCAUGAAUCCAAAUCAUCUUGGGACCCAAUUUCACAGAGGGCUUUCCA
rnacentral:misc_RNA from 1 species